rnacentral:rRNA from 1 species
GACGAACGCUGGCGGCGUGCUUAACACAUGCAAGUCGAACGGAAAGGCCUCAGCUUGCUGGGGUACUCGAGUGGCGAACGGGUGAGUAACACGUGGGUGAUCUGCCCUGCACUUCGGGAUAAGCCUGGGAAACUGGGUCUAAUACCGGAUAGGACCAUCGCUUAGUGUCGGUGGUGGAAAGUUUUUCGGUGCAGGAUGAGCUCGCGGCCUAUCAGCUUGUUGGUGGGGUAAUGGCCUACCAAGGCGUCGACGGGUAGCCGGCCUGAGAGGGUGGACGGCCACAUUGGGACUGAGACACGGCCCAGACUCCUACGGGAGGCAGCAGUGGGGAAUAUUGCACAAUGGGCGCAAGCCUGAUGCAGCGACGCCGCGUGGGGGAUGACGGCCUUCGGGUUGUAAACUCCUUUCAACCAUGACGAAGCGGAAGUGACGGUAGUGGUAGAAGAAGCACCGGCUAACUACGUG